rnacentral:rRNA from 1 species
GACAGAGGGUGCUAGCGUUGUUCGGAAUUACUGGGCGUAAAGGGCGCGUAGGCGGCUUGUUUAGUCGGGUGUGAAAUCCCGGGGCUCAACCCCGGAACUGCAUUCGAUACUGGCAGGCUAGAGACCGGAAGAGGUGGGUGGAAUACCCAGUGUAGAGGUGAAAUUCGUAGAUAUUGGGUGGAACACCGGUGGCGAAGGCGGCUCACUGGUCCGGUUCUGACGCUGAGGCGCGAAAGCGUGGGAGCAAACAGG